rnacentral:lncRNA from 1 species
UUAAUGCAGGUACACACAGCACAGCUAGUUUCAAAGUUAAACCACAAUGAAAACUGUCACUACUGACAAGGAACUAUGCAAAGACCUUCGGUCUCAGGCCCUUGCUCACUCAGGAGUAUCUUGAGACCUGUUUCUUCCUGUUCAGCUGCAGUCACGGUUCUAACCUGGUUCUUCUCACGGCUGGUAUCCUCUGACCUUUUACGUCCUGGCAAUGACUUCCAUGCAUUUUGGCAGUGACUGCCUGAAUCUCUGAUUCAACCCUGACCGCAGCCUCUCGGGCUUUCUCUCUCCUUUAAUUCUUUCCGCGGAUGGCCGCGGCUUCUGCCGCCUCUACCCUUCCUGGAGCAACCCGUGCUUUUGAAAAAUGACCAUGCCGAAGGGGAACUAACACUCCCAGCCUGGAGCGGGUCUUGUCAAUCUGAUUUUUAAAUGAUGGAGGAGGAGGUUUGAGGACAAAGCUCAUGGUGGCAUUACCGCUAUCAGGGACGCUGCAAAAAUCAAGUGAAAAGGGGGAAAGGCUCUUCUCAAUGUGAGCACAUUCACAGACUCUGAGGACAGAGAGGUAUUUAAAGUGAACUGGAACAAACCUGCAACAUCCGGUGCGUUCUGCCUUCAAAAAUAGCUGCCAGUUAGAAAGGGUUAUUUACAUAUUGAUUUCAUGCUAACUUUGUAAUGGAAUGUGCUGCCUGCCUGCCUGCCUGAGACCUAACAACUGUCAUCAUAAUUUUUUCUAAAAAUACAGUCAGAGAAAAACACUCAUUGAACCCUCCACUGGAAAGUGGCUGCAAAAGACCCCCUGAUCCCAAACCUGCUUGACAAACCACAGCCAAGGGCAGGGACACUCAACAACUGUAACCGAGGAACAUUUCACAGCGGCAGCUGGCCCCUCCCUUCUUCCAACCAGCCAAUAUUUUUUGUCCUUCUAGAAAACCUGUCUUGUUCAAAGUAAGUUUCCUGAGGCUUCCCCAGCCAUGCUUCUUGUACAGCCUGUGAAACUGCUGGAACUUACCAUUGGCUCUCCUGGUCCUCAGGCCUUUGGAGUCAGACUGGAACUACACCAUCAGCUUUCUAGGGUCCCCAUCUUGCCAACUGCAGACCUUGGAAUCAGCCUCAUAAUUGCAUAAACCAAUUUCUUAUCCAAAUAGUAUAUAUAUGUCAUUUCUUACAAGAAAUUUAAGUAAACUUCAUACAUAUAAUA